rnacentral:rRNA from 1 species
CAAAUGAAGAGUUUGAUCCUGGCUCAGAUUGAACGCUGGCGGCAUGCCUAACACAUGCAAGUCGAACGGUAACAGGCCGUUGUGAUCCCUUCGGGGUGAACUUGGCGCUGACGAGUGGCAGACGGGUGAGUAACGCGUAGGAAUUUGCCCGGUAGUGGGGGAUAGCUCGGAGAAACUCGAAUUAAUACCGCAUACCCUCCAUGGAGGAAAGCCGGGGACCUUUUCGGAGGCCCGGCGCUACCGGAUAAGCCUGCGUCUGAUUAGCUUGUUGGUGAGGUAACGGCUCACCAAGGCGACGAUCAGUAGCUGGUCUGAGAGGACGAUCAGCCACACUGGGACUGAGACACGGCCCAGACUCCUACGGGAGGCAGCAGUG